rnacentral:rRNA from 1 species
UACACUCCUACGGGAGGCAGCAGUGGGGAAUUUUGGACAAUGGGCGAAAGCCUGAUCCAGCAAUGCCGCGUGAGUGAAGAAGGCCUUCGGGUUGUAAAGCUCUUUUGUCAGGGAAGAAACGGUGAAAGCUAAUAUCUUUUGCUAAUGACGGUACCUGAAGAAUAAGCACCGGCUAACUACGUGCCAGCAGCCGCGGUAAUACGUAGGGUGCAAGCGUUAAUCGGAAUUACUGGGCGUAAAGCGUGCGCAGGCGGUUUUGUAAGUCUGAUGUGAAAUCCCCGGGCUCAACCUGGGAAUUGCAUUGGAGACUGCAAGGCUAGAAUCUGGCAGAGGGGGGUAGAAUUCCACGUGUAGCAGUGAAAUGCGUAGAUAUGUGGAGGAACACCGAUGGCGAAGGCAGCCCCCUGGGUCAAGAUUGACGCUCAUGCACGAAAGCGUGGGGAGCAAACAGGAUUAGAUACCCCAGUAGUCCCAUGA